rnacentral:tRNA from 1 species
GGAUUGUGGCUUAGUGGUAGAGCGCUUGCCUAGCAUGUGUGAGGCGCUGGGUUUGAUUCUCAGCACCA